AAAAAACAGAGAUAAAGAUCGCUGACGAAUUUAUAGCUACUGUAUAAUCGGGGUAUAACUCCGAUCUUAGAGCAGCAAAUCGAGCUGUUUUGGGUCGUUAAUUCCUUUUUUACUCUCCAUCAAAAUGGCAGAUGCUUACUGGAGAGUCACCGACGGCCGGAUACAUCCCGUAUCUCUUCCUCCGGUACCCUCAAAACGCCCGAGGACCGAAAAUGAUGUUCCAAGUGGUCCUGAGAUGCUUGGCAGUCAUAGCCACAAUGAUGUACAAGGAAUGCAUCAUGCCAUUAGAGAAACAGAUCCUAUUGAAACAUCCUAUGAACAAUACUUACGAAGCGGGCAAACUUCAUCGUAUGCUGGUGGUGACUCUGCAAAUUCCAUGAGUAAUGGAGUAGGCAGUCAUUCUAUUGACGGUCCACGUGUUAUGGGUACUGUGGGAUCAGAGCCGGUUGCUGCUAGAAGCAGGACCAUUGGGUUUGGAGGUGUUAGACCAGAAGUUCCUCUUCCACCUGAGGCUAGCAGUACAUUGUUUGUGGAGGGGUUGCCUGCUCAUUGCACCCGAAGAGAGGUGUCACAUAUAUUUCGACCAUUCGUAGGUUUCAAAGAAGUUAGACUGGUGAUCAAAGAAUCACGACAUCCAGGAGGGCAUCCAUUUGUUCUUUGCUUUGUUGAUUUUAUGAGUCCAUCCCAUGCAGCCACUGCUAUGGAUACUUUACAAGGUUAUAAAUUGGACGAGCAUGACCGUGAUUCACCCAACUUAAGGCUGCAAUUUGCACGCCGUCCUGGUGCCAGGUCAGGUGGUGGGUAUCGCGGAAAGCAUUGAAUUAUGCAUCUUUACAGGACCAACUUGAAUUCGGAGAUUACAUGUUUGCGGUUAUGUGUUUGACAUCUCUCUCUCUGAGUGGGUGGUUCAUUAGGACCAGCGUUUUCUCCUUGCAUGGGAAGAAAUUGUAGUUUGUGUAUUAGCAUUUAACUUUCAUUUCCGUGUCAAUUCUGCGCCGUCCUUUGCAGAACAUGGGUGUUGUUAUAUUUCAUAUCCUGAUUGCUGAAAGAUGAUUUCAGUUUUAUCUGGCGCGUAGGAUGUUAUUUAUAAAUUAUAAUACACCAUUGUAACUUUAAUGAUAAGUGGUAAGUAUUUUUUACUAUUUUU
rnacentral:misc_RNA from 1 species